CUCUUUCUAUAGGGCUCUGGUACUGAGGCCGCCCGGCACCGUUUGGGGCGUGGUGGUGCCGAGGCGUGUAGCAGUCACGGAUGACGAAGAGCAAGUUGAAAUUUUCCAAAUGAUGGCAGUGCGCUGGGAAAAGCUAAAAAUAUAUAGAGCCAGUUUUCAGAGCAGUGAAGAACCACAACAACAGCCGGAGUGGCUCAAAGCAGUGGGACUAGAACUGCUUUAGUUAAAUGGAGGGGAUCUCUCUACAGCCACCGUUCUGGCUGCUGCUAACUGUAGACUGGACUCUUCACAAACUUCAUCUGCAGACGAGUCACCUUCGACAAAUGACCAGCUGAGCUCCCGGACCGUUUCUCCACUCUCUCCUACACCUAUCUGUACCAGCUGCCCCGCUAUCCAUGUCGAGGCAUCCAGGGGCUGGGCAGCUACAGGAGAGCUGCUCCUGAUAUGUUCGGACUUUAAAGUUCUUUUUAAAGGUGGUUUUGUGGUUUUUUAAAAUGU